UUGGUUAAGUUAGAAAGGGCGCACGGUGGAUGCCUUGGCACUAGGAGCCGAAGAAGGACGGGACUAACACCGAUAUGCUUUGGGGAGCUGUACGUAAGCGUUGAUCCAGAGAUUUCCGAAUGGGGGAACCCACUAUCUUUAGUCGGAUAGUAUCCUUACGUGAAUACAUAGCGUAAGGAAGGCAGACCCAGGGAACUGAAACAUCUAAGUACCUGGAGGAAGAGAAAGAAAAAUCGAUUUCCUGAGUAGCGGCGAGCGAAACGGAAAGAGCCCAAACCAAGAAGCUUGCUUCUUGGGGUUGUAGGACACUCUAUACGGAGUUACAAAAGAAAGUUAUAAAUGAAGCGGUCUGGAAAGGCCCGCCAAAGACGGUAACAGCCCGGUAGUUGAAAUGGCUUUCCCUCCAGAGUGGAUCCUGAGUACGGCGGAACACGUGAAAUUCCGUCGGAAUCCGGGAGGACCAUCUCCCAAGGCUAAAUACUCCCUAGUGACCGAUAGUGAACCAGUACCGUGAGGGAAAGGUGAAAAGCACCCCGGAAGGGGAGUGAAACAGUUCCUGAAACCGUGUGCCUACAAGUAGUUAGAGCCCGUUAAUGGGUGAUAGCGUGCCUUUUGUAGAAUGAACCGGCGAGUUACGAUUUGUUGCAAGGUUAAGCGGAAAAAGCGGAGCCGUAGCGAAAGCGAGUCUGAAUAGGGCGCAUAAGUAACAGGUCGUAGACCCGAAACCAGGUGAUCUACCCAUGUCCAGGAUGAAGGUAAGGUAAUACUUACUGGAGGUCCGAACCCACGCACGUUGAAAAGUGCGGGGAUGAGGUGUGGGUAGCGGAGAAAUUCCAAUCGAACUUGGAGAUAGCUGGUUCUCUCCGAAAUAGCUUUAGGGCUAGCCUCGAGGUAAAGAGUCAUGGAGGUAGAGCACUGUUUGGACUAGGGGCCCUUCUCGGGUUACCGAAUUCAGAUAAACUCCGAAUGCCAUGUACUUAUACUCGGGAGUCAGACUGCGAGUGAUAAGAUCCGUAGUCGAAAGGGAAACAGCCCAGACCACCAGUUAAGGUCCCCAAAUAUAUGUUAAGUGGAAAAGGAUGUGGGGUUGCUUAGACAACCAGGAUGUUGGCUUAGAAGCAGCCACCAUUGAAAGAGUGCGUAAUAGCUCACUGGUCGAGUGACCCCGCGCCGAAAAUGUACCGGGGCUAAACAUAUUACCGAAACUGUGGAUGAACCUCUUCGGAGGUUCGUGGUAGGAGAGCGUUCUAAGGGCGGUGAAGUCAGACCGGAAGGACUGGUGGAGCGCUUAGAAGUGAGAAUGCCGGUAUGAGUAGCGAAAGAAGGGUGAGAAUCCCUUCCACCGAAUAUCUAAGGUUUCCUGAGGAAGGCUCGUCCGCUCAGGGUUAGUCGGGACCUAAGCCGAGGCCGAUAGGCGUAGGCGAUGGACAACAGGUAGAGAUUCCUGUACCAGUGCUAAUUGUUUAACCGAUGGGGUGACACAGAAGGAUAGGGAAUCGCACGAAUGGAAAUGUGCGUCCAAGCAGUGAGUGUGAGAAGUAGGCAAAUCCGCUUCUCGCGAAGCAUGAGCUGUGAUGGGGAAGGAAAUUAAGUACGGAAGUUCCUGAUUUCACGCUGUCAAGAAAAGCCUCUAGGAAGAGUAGUACUGCCCGUACCGCAAACCGACACAGGUAGAUGAGGAGAGAAUCCUAAGGUGAGCGAGAGAACUCUCGUUAAGGAACUCGGCAAAAUGACCCCGUAACUUCGGGAGAAGGGGUGCUCUAUUAGGGUGCAAGCCCGAGAGAGCCGCAGUGAAUAGGCCCAGGCGACUGUUUAGCAAAAACACAGGUCUCUGCAAAACCGUAAGGUGACGUAUAGGGGCUGACGCCUGCCCGGUGCUGGAAGGUUAAGAGGAGUGCUUAGCUUCGGCGAAGGUACGAAUUGAAGCCCCAGUAAACGGCGGCCGUAACUAUAACGGUCCUAAGGUAGCGAAAUUCCUUGUCGGGUAAGUUCCGACCCGCACGAAAGGCGCAACGAUCUGGGCACUGUCUCAACGAGAGACUCGGUGAAAUUAUAGUACCUGUGAAGAUGCAGGUUACCCGCGACAGGACGGAAAGACCCCGUGGAGCUUUACUGCAACCUGAUAUGGAAUGUUUGUACCGCUUGUACAGGAUAGGUAGGAGCCGAAGAGACGUGUGCGCUAGCAUACGAGGAGGCAAUGGUGGGAUACUACCCUGGCUGUAUGACCAUUCUAACCCGCCACGCUUAGCGCGUGGGGAGACAGUGUCAGGUGGGCAGUUUGACUGGGGCGGUCGCCUCCUAAAGAGUAACGGAGGCGCCCAAAGGUUCCCUCAGAAUGGAUGGAAAUCAUUCGCAGAGUGUAAAGGCACAAGGGAG
rnacentral:rRNA from 1 species